UCCUGUGGCACCUUAUAGACUCACCGAAGUGUUGGAGCAUAAGCUUUCGUGGGCAAAGACCCACUUCGUCAAAUGCAUGUCCCUAAGAUGCAUCCCCAUUACUGUUUUACUGAGCACAAAUUCAUUUUUAAAAUGUUUUCUUAGAAAUGUCUGUCCAUUCAGUGCCUACAUCAGUGGAAACUGAGUGACACAAGAAUCUAUCAACAGCAGCUGCCAAUUUACUGACACUCCCCUGAAUGUGAGUGUCAGGUGACUUUCAGAAUGGUGCAACACAAAUCAACUCUGCUGUGAUCAGCUCCACAGAGAGACCAAACCUCACCUACAGUUCUCUGCCACUGUGCCAAGCAGAUAUUAUGUGUCAGCUAGUUGCUUGGCCAGGAAACAAUCCACCCGUGUAUCAAGGUGCAUGCCAAUGACUUUUGUAUCCUGUACCUCAAAGGGCUCCGUGGGAAGAAAAGUCCACGUGCAGCUUAACAACAUCAUCAAGGCUGUACGUUGUCAUCCUGCACGUAUGUACGACAGCUUUCCCUGCACAGCUGCAUGCUGCUAUCUCCUCUCAUCAGCUGAAUAAAACAUCCUGGCACUCCAUCAAGAUAACGCCUGCAUGGCUGCUCUUUUUAAUCUUCUUUUUUAAUGUAUUUUUGUGUGCAUCUCAAAUAUAAUUUAAAUGGCAUAAUAAAAGGCCAACAUUAUGAAGUUAAUUUUUUUUAAUUCUUUCCUGAAUGGGUUCCAAAUGCUAAUGGGAAAUAUUAUUUAUAGUGUGUUUUUAUUAUUCAAAAUGAUAUUAGAGUUUAGUCAGAAAUUUUCCUCUUAGACCUCAUUGCACCUCUCUCCUUUCCCCCUUUCUGCUGCUGUGGAGGGAUCUGUUUGUCUGAUGCAUGAACUGUGUUAAAGAAUUAUUAUUGUUAUUACUUUUGGAUUUGGCAAAGAUGUCAUUAUAAAUGCUGAAUUUGUUUUCCACAGGUCAAUAGACUAAU